GUCCACGCGGUAACGAUGGGCACUAGGUGUGGGGUAGUCCACUCCUCCCGUGCCGAAGCUAACGCAUUAAGUGCCCCGCCUGGGGAGGUACGGCCGCAAGGUUAAACUACAAGGAAUUGACGGGGCCCGGCACAAGCGGUGGAGCAUGUGGUUUAAUUCGACGCAACGCGAAGAACCUUACCUGGGCUUGACAUCCCUGGAACUCCCUGGAAACAGGGGGUGCCCUCGAAAAGAGGGAGCCAGGAGACAGGUGCUGCAUGGCUGUCGU
rnacentral:rRNA from 1 species